AACGAACGCUGGCGGCAUGCCUAACACAUGCAAGUCGAACGAGACCUUCGGGUCUAGUGGCGCACGGGUGCGUAACGCGUGGGAACCUGCCCUUAGGUUCGGAAUAACUCCCCGAAAGGGGUGCUAAUACCGGAUAAUGUCUUCGGACCAAAGAUUUAUCGCCUUUGGAUGGGCCCGCGUUGGAUUAGCUAGUUGGUAGGGUAAAAGCCUACCAAGGCGACGAUCCAUAGCUGGUCUGAGAGGAUGAUCAGCCACACUGGGACUGAGACACGGCCCAGACUCCGACGGGAGGCAGCAGUGGGGAGUAUUGGACAAGGGGCGAAAGCCUGAUCCAGCAACGCCGCGUGAGUGAUGAAGGCCUUAGGGUUGUAAAGCUCUUUUACCCGAGAUGAUAAUGACGGUACCGGGAGAAUAAGCUCCGGCUAACUCCGUG
rnacentral:rRNA from 1 species